AACGUAGGUACCGAGCGUUAUCCGGAUUUACUGGGCGUAAAGCGCGUUCAGGCGGUCUGGCAAGUCGGGCAUGAAAUCUCUCGGCUCAACCGGGAGGGGUUGUCCGAUACUGCUGGACUUGAGGGCAGGAGAGGGUGGUGGAAUUCCGGGUGUAGUGGUGAAAUGCGUAGAGAUCCGGAGGAACACCAGUGGCGAAGGCGGCCACCUGGCCUGCACCUGACGCUGAAACGCGAAAGCUAGGGGAGCGAACGGG
rnacentral:rRNA from 1 species